GACUGCAUGCCAAUGGACAAUGAUCUUCUUUUGUUCUUAGUGGGGUUUGCAAAUUUCGUUAUUGGGUUAUCCUGGUGAUAAUUGCUGCAUAGCAGAAAAAUUCGAACAUGGUUUCUUUGUUUGUACGCAUUCAUGUAUUGUUUGUUGUUCAUUGAUUCCCCUAAAUGCAUGUUGUGAAAUCGCAAAAUAGUCACUCCAACAACUUGAAAAUAAAAUAUGAAAUUUACUUUAAACAUUUUAGUGUUAAUCUUUUAUUUAUUUAUUAUUAUUUGCUUUGUUUUAGUGUUAAUCUUUACAGUCAUUUCAUUGCUAAGAUGUCCAGAUGUUGGUCUUCGCAUUGGUCUUCCCCAAGUGUACUACAUAUUUUCAUCAUGAAAGCUGUAAGGAAGUAACAAAGGCAUACAAGCCUAGCUUGAUCCUUCAUCUUGAAUCAGUAUUAUGUGUUGCA
rnacentral:lncRNA from 1 species